rnacentral:tRNA from 1 species
UCCGCCUUAGCUCAGCAGGCAGAGCAAGUGGCUGUUAACCACUGGGUCGCUGGUUCGAGUCCAGCAGGCGGAG